UACGUAGGGGGCAAGCGUUGUCCGGAUUUAUUGGGCGUAAAGAGCGUGUAGGCGGCUAGGUAGGUCCGUUGUGAAAACUCGAGGCUUAACCUCGAGACGCCGGUGGAAACCAUCUAGCUAGAGUCCGGAAGAGGAGAGUGGAAUUCCUGGUGUAGCGGUGAAAUGCGCAGAUAUCAGGAAGAACACCCGUGGCGAAGGCGGCUCUCUGGUACGUGACUGACGCUGAGACGCGAAAGCGUGGGGAGCGAACAGG
rnacentral:rRNA from 1 species